UUCAUUCGAAACCACCCAGAAGUGCAGACGCCCAAAUAGUAUCUCUCUGCAAGUGUAAAUUUUAUCAGCGCAAGAGCAGCGCAAGUGCAGUGUUCAUUUUUUUUUAUUUAUCAACUACCAAAUUUGCAACGGUGAUAAGGGCAGCCUAAGCCUGUGUUUGUGGGUUUUUUUGUUUUUGUUUCGCGGCUUUAUAAAAGCGCGACCUCGUGGCGGCCUUAUCAAAAUUUAUCAGGUGAAUAUAAAAUAUGUUUUCUAAUACCUCCAGGGUACUUAUUGUGGCCGUUUUAAAAAUUCAGGCGGUCCACAUCAAAGCACCCCGGGAGCGCUCCUGGUGGAGGCUCCCAGUUCAGGAGCGGCUUAACCUCGAUCGGGCUUUUAGUGAAGUGGAAAAAACGGAAUUGGAAAAUAUGAAGAUAAUAUUUAUUUUUUUUUAAACUUUCGCGAACAAAAUGGUUGUCAGUUUAAUUUUAAAUCGUUUAAUUUUAAUCCUCGUGCGAAAAUAAGUUUGUUUUAAAAUUCUAUGGUGUGCAAAAGCCUCAUUACACUCAUUUACAGCAACCCAAAGCAGAGAUCGAUCUUUCGCCGAUGGAUUUACACAUCUAUCUGUCUAUCUUGUCGCCAGCACGCUCAAUUCUGGACUUUAUUUAAUAUUAAAUGUGGCCGUGUUAGGAUUUGUACGAAGCAAGAUCUCCAUCCCCAAAGCCGACGAGCUAGAGCCGGACUCUAUAGCGUGCCCUCGCAAGUACGAAUCCUUCCUAAACAGCUCAGAAUACCGUUACACGCUACAGUUAUAAUUAAUUAAUUAUUAAAU